CCUACGGGAGGCAGCAGUGGGGAAUAUUGGGCAAUGGAGGAAAGUCUGACGCAGCAACGCCGCGUGAAUGAUGAAGGUCUUCGGAUUGUAAAGUUCUUUUCUAAGGGAAGAAGAAAGUAACGGUACCUUAGUAAUAAGCAUCGGCUAACUACGUGCCAGCAGCCGCGGGAAUACGUAGGAGGCAAGCGUUAUCCGGAAUGACUGGGCGUAAAGGGUGCGUAGGUGGUUUGACAAGCUGGGAGCGAAACUCCGGGGCUCAACCUCGGAACUCCAACCAAAAAUGGCGGACUAGAGUCCAGGAGAGGGAAAUGGAAUUCCUAGUGUAGCGGUGGAAUGCGUAGAGAUUAGGAGGAACACCAGUGGCGAAGGCGAUUUGCUGGACUGUAACUGACGCUGAGGCACGAAAGCGUGGGGAGCAAACAGGAUUAGAUACCCUUGUAGUC
rnacentral:rRNA from 1 species